rnacentral:rRNA from 1 species
AUUGAACGCUGGCGGCAGGCUUAACACAUGCAAGUCGAGCGGUAGCACAAGAGAGCUUGCUCUCUGGGUGACGAGCGGCGGACGGGUGAGUAAUGUCUGGGAAACUGCCUGAUGGAGGGGGAUAACUACUGGAAACGGUAGCUAAUACCGCAUAACGUCGCAAGACCAAAGAGGGGGACCUUCGGGCCUCUUGCCAUCAGAUGUGCCCAGAUGGGAUUAGCUAGUAGGUGGGGUAAUGGCUCACCUAGGCGACGAUCCCUAGCUGGUCUGAGAGGAUGACCAGCCACACUGGAACUGAGACACGGUCCAGACUCCUACGGGAGGCAGCAGUGGGGAAUAUUGCACAAUGGGCGCAAGCCUGAUGCAGCCAUGCCGCGUGUGUGAAGAAGGCCUUCGGGUUGUAAAGCACUUUCAGCGAGGAGGAAGGUGGUGAACUUAAUACGUUCAUCAAUUGACGUUACUCGCAGAAAAAGCACCGGCUAACUCCGUGCCAGCAACCGCGGUAAUACGGAGGGUGCAAGCGUUAAUCCGAAUUACUGGGCGUAAGCGCACGCAGGCGGUUUGUUAAGUCAGAUGUGAAAUCCCCGGGCUCAACCUGGGAACUGCAUUUGAAACUGGCAAGCUAGAGUCUCGUAGAGGGGGGUAGAAUUCUAGGUGUAGCGGUGAAAUGCGUAGAGAUCUGGAGGAAUACCGGUGGCGAAGGCGGCCCCCUGGACGAAGACUGACGCUCAGGUGCGAAAGCGUGGGGAGCAAACAGGAUUAGAUACCCUGGUAGUCCACGCUGUAAACGAUGUCGAUUUGGAGGUUGUGCCCUUGAGGCGUGGCUUCCGGAGCUAACGCGUUAAAUCGACCGCCUGGGGAGUACGGCCGCAAGGUUAAAACUCAAAUGAAUUGACGGGGGCCCGCACAAGCGGUGGAGCAUGUGGUUUAAUUCGAUGCAACGCGAAGAACCUUACCUACUCUUGACAUCCAGAGAACUUUCCAGAGAUGGAUUGGUGCCUUCGGGAACUCUGAGACAGGUGCUGCAUGGCUGUCGUCAGCUCGUGUUGUGAAAUGUUGGGUUAAGUCCCGCAACGAGCGCAACCCUUAUCCUUUGUUGCCAGCGGUUCGGCCGGGAACUCAAAGGAGACUGCCAGUGAUAAACUGGAGGAAGGUGGGGAUGACGUCAAGUCAUCAUGGCCCUUACGAGUAGGGCUACACACGUGCUACAAUGGCAUAUACAAAGAGAAGCGACCUCGCGAGAGCAAGCGGACCUCAUAAAGUAUGUCGUAGUCCGGAUUGGAGUCUGCAACUCGACUCCAUGAAGUCGGAAUCGCUAGUAAUCGUAGAUCAGAAUGCUACGGUGAAUACGUUCCCGGGCCU